rnacentral:rRNA from 1 species
GGGUUGUGAGGUUAAGCGACUAAGCGUACACGGUGGAUGCCCUGGCAGUCAGAGGCGAUGAAGGACGUGCUAAUCUGCGAAAAGCGUCGGUAAGGUGAUAUGAACCGUUAUAACCGGCGAUGUCCGAAUGGGGAAACCCAGUGCAAUUCGUUGCACUAUCGUUAACUGAAUACAUAGGUUAACGAGGCGAACCGGGGGAACUGAAACAUCUAAGUACCCCGAGGAAAAGAAAUCAACCGAGAUUCCCCCAGUAGCGGCGAGCGAACGGGGAGCAGCCCAGAGUCUGAAUCAGCUUGUGUGUUAGUGGAACGGUCUGGAAAGUCCGACGGUACAGGGUGAUAGUCCCGUACACCAAAAUGCACAGGCUGUGAACUCGAAGAGUAGGGCGGGACACGUGGUAUCCUGUCUGAAUAUGGGGGGACCAUCCUCCAAGGCUAAAUACUCCUGACUGACCGAUAGUGAACCAGUACCGUGAGGGAAAGGCGAAAAGAACCCCGGCGAGGGGAGUGAAAAAGAACCUGAAACCGUGUACGUACAAGCAGUGGGAGCACCUUCGGGUGUGACUGCGUACCUUUUGUAUAAUGGGUCAGCGACUUAUAUUCUGUAGCAAGGUUAACCGUAUAGGGGAGCCGCAGGGAAACCGAGUCUUAACUGGGCGUUAAGUUGCAGGGUAUAGACCCGAAACCCGGUGAUCUAGCCAUGGGCAGGUUGAAGGUUGGGUAACACUAACUGGAGGACCGAACCGACUAAUGUUGAAAAAUUAGCGGAUGACUUGUGGCUGGGGGUGAAAGGCCAAUCAAACCGGGAGAUAGCUGGUUCUCCCCGAAAGCUAUUUAGGUAGCGCCUCGUGAACUCAUCUUCGGGGGUAGAGCACUGUUUCGGCUAGGGGGUCAUCCCGACUUACCAACCCGAUGCAAACUACGAAUACCGAAGAAUGUUAUCACGGGAGACACACGGCGGGUGCUAACGUCCGUCGUGAAGAGGGAAACAACCCAGACCGCCAGCUAAGGUCCCAAAGUCAUGGUUAAGUGGGAAACGAUGUGGGAAGGCACAGACAGCCAGGAUGUUGGCUUAGAAGCAGCCAUCAUUUAAAGAAAGCGUAAUAGCUCACUGGUCGAGUCGGCCUGCGCGGAAGAUGUAACGGGGCUAAACCAUGCACCGAAGCUGCGGCAGCGACACUAUGUGUUGUUGGGUAGGGGAGCGUUCUGUAAGCCUGCGAAGGUGACCUGUGAGGGUUGCUGGAGGUAUCAGAAGUGCGAAUGCUGACAUAAGUAACGAUAAAGCGGGUGAAAAGCCCGCUCGCCGGAAGACCAAGGGUUCCUGUCCAACGUUAAUCGGGGCAGGGUGAGUCGACCCCUAAGGCGAGGCCGAAAGGCGUAGUCGAUGGGAAACAGGUUAAUAUUCCUGUACUUGGUGUUACUGCGAAGGGGGGACGGAGAAGGCUAUGUUAGCCGGGCGACGGUUGUCCCGGUUUAAGCAUGUAGGCUGAUUGUCCAGGCAAAUCCGGAUAAUCAAGGCUGAGGUGUGAUGACGAGGCACUACGGUGCUGAAGUAACAAAUGCCCUGCUUCCAGGAAAAGCCUCUAAGCAUCAGGUAACAUCAAAUCGUACCCCAAACCGACACAGGUGGUCAGGUAGAGAAUACCAAGGCGCUUGAGAGAACUCGGGUGAAGGAACUAGGCAAAAUGGUGCCGUAACUUCGGGAGAAGGCACGCUGGUGUGUAGGUGAAGUCCCUGCGGAUGGAGCUGAGACCAGUCGAAGAUACCAGCUGGCUGCAACUGUUUAUUAAAAACACAGCACUGUGCAAACACGAAAGUGGACGUAUACGGUGUGACGCCUGCCCGGUGCCGGAAGGUUAAUUGAUGGGGUUAUCCGUAAGGAGAAGCUCUUGAUCGAAGCCCCGGUAAACGGCGGCCGUAACUAUAACGGUCCUAAGGUAGCGAAAUUCCUUGUCGGGUAAGUUCCGACCUGCACGAAUGGCGUAAUGAUGGCCAGGCUGUCUCCACCCGAGACUCAGUGAAAUUGAACUCGCUGUGAAGAUGCAGUGUACCCGCGGCAAGACGGAAAGACCCCGUGAACCUUUACUAUAGCUUGACACUGAACAUUGAGCCUUGAUGUGUAGGAUAGGUGGGAGGCUUUGAAGCGUGGACGCCAGUCUGCGUGGAGCCAACCUUGAAAUACCACCCUUUAAUGUUUGAUGUUCUAACGUUGGCCCCUUAUCGGGGUUGCGGACAGUGUCUGGUGGGUAGUUUGACUGGGGCGGUCUCCUCCCAAAGCGUAACGGAGGAGCACGAAGGUUAGCUAAUCCUGGUCGGACAUCAGGAGGUUAGUGCAAUGGCAUAAGCUAGCUUGACUGCGAGCGUGACGGCGCGAGCAGGUGCGAAAGCAGGUCAUAGUGAUCCGGUGGUUCUGAAUGGAAGGGCCAUCGCUCAACGGAUAAAAGGUACUCCGGGGAUAACAGGCUGAUACCGCCCAAGAGUUCAUAUCGACGGCGGUGUUUGGCACCUCGAUGUCGGCUCAUCACAUCCUGGGGCUGAAGUAGGUCCCAAGGGUAUGGCUGUUCGCCAUUUAAAGUGGUACGCGAGCUGGGUUUAGAACGUCGUGAGACAGUUCGGUCCCUAUCUGCCGUGGGCGCUGGAGAAUUGAGGGGGGCUGCUCCUAGUACGAGAGGACCGGAGUGGACGCAUCACUGGUGUUCGGGUUGUCAUGCCAAUGGCACUGCCCGGUAGCUAAAUGCGGAAGAGAUAAGUGCUGAAAGCAUCUAAGCACGAAACUUGCCCCGAGAUGAGUUCUCCCUGAGACUUUAAGUCUCCUGAAGGAACGUUAAAGACGAUGACGUUGAUAGGCCGGGUGUGUAAGCGCAGCGAUGCGUUGGGC